UGUAAUCCUUUUGAUAAGUUGUCUAAUAUCUUACAGCUAUGUGACAAUAAUUUUAUUUAAAAUAAAAGGCUCAUGCUAAAUUUGCUUAAACAUGGUUUCUAAGGUAACUCCAUAUCAGGAAAUGACAUCAGCACCCCAUUUUUGAAGUUCAUACAAAAGCAGUGUGUAACCUCAAAGACAGCUUUACACCAAUUAUACACAUUUUUCACCAGAUGAAUGAUGUUUUUAUACAUUUCUAUUGUCCUCCUCUUAGGGGUGCCAGCAGUUGUGCUGGGAGUGACUUUGGAUCAAGGUCCAAAGGUUGUGGUUAAAGGAGUGGGCAAAACUAUAUAUCUGCAAUGCAAAGCGGAUGGUCUGAGUGAUUCAGACUAUAUCCACUGGUACCAAGUUAAAGACAAAGAAGCCCCAACGAGGCUACUCUACAUCAGUAAAGGAGGUAGUGUUGCUCGUGAUACCAGCGCUGAUGCAGCUGACUUCACAGUGGACAAAGCAAAGCUUUAUGAUCUAAAACUGAGUAAGAUUCAGCCGAAACAUUCUGCUGUUUAUUUCUGCGCCUACUGGGACAGAAGCAGCG